rnacentral:rRNA from 1 species
AGUUGAUAUGGCUCAGAUUGAACGCUGGAGCGGAUGCUUUACAUACGCAAGUCGAACGGCACGGACUCUGGUCUGGUGGUGAGUGGCGAACGGGUGAGUAAUGUAUCGGAACGUGCCUAGUAGCGGGGAUAACUACGCGAGCGUAGCUUUUAAUACCGCAUAUUGCCCUCGUGAAAGCGGGGGACCUCGGGCCUCACCAUGGAGCGGCCUGAUAUCGGAUUAGCUAGGUUGUUGGGCACAAUGCCCACUGGCGACGAUCCCGCUGGUUUGAGAGGACGACCAGCCACACUGACUGAGGCACGCGCAGCCCAGAUCGCAUGGAUACAGCAGUGGUAAAUUUUGGACAAUGGGGAAACCCCCGGAUCCAGCCAUCUCAUGUGUGCGAUGAAGGCCUGGGGUUGUAAAGCACUUUGGCAGGAAAGAAACGGCACGGGAUAAUACCCCAAGAACUGAUUGCGCCCGCGGUGAAUAAGCACCGGCUAACACGCCAGUGAAUGCGGCAGACAUGUAGGGUGUUAAUCGGAAUUACUGGGCGUAAAGCGUGCGCAGGCGGUUCGGAAAGAAAGAUGGAAAUCCAGAGCUUAACUUUGAACUGCAUUUUUAACUACCGAGCCAGAGUGUGUCAGAGGGAGGUGGAAUUCCGCGCAAGAGCAGUGAAAUGCGUAGAUAUGUCGAGAAACACCGAUGGCGAAGGCAGCCUCCGGGAUAACACCGACGUCAUGCACGAAAGCGUGGGGACAAACAGGAUUAGAUAAUUCCGCAGUCCGCGCCUCUAAACGAUGUCAUUCAGUUCGUUAGCUCUUCGGCCUGCAGAAGCGUGAAAUGAAUGCGCAGUUGACCGCCUUGGGGAGUACGGGGUCGCAAGAUUAAAACUCAAAGGAAUUGACGGGGACCCGCACGCGGAUGAUGUGGAUUAAUUCGAUGCAACGCGAAACCUUACCUACCUUUGAUAUGUCCACAGAAAUCCUGAAGAGAUUGGGAGUGCUCAAGAGAACCGGAACACAGGUGCUGCAUAUGGUCGUCACUCGUGUCGUGAUGUUGCCAAGUCCGCAAAACGAGCGCAACCCUUGUCACUAGUUACUACAGGGACGCACUUAAUGAGAUCGCCGGUACAACCGGAGGAAGGUGGGGAUGACGUCAAGUCCUUUGGGCCCUUAUGGGUAGGGCUUCGCCACUGUCAUACAAUGGUCGGGACAGAGGGUCGCUAACCCGCGAGGGGGAGCCAAUCCCAGAAACCUGAUCGGGUCCGGAUCGUGCGCUCCGUGAACUCACUGCGUAGUCAGCAACCGCUGGGGUAACGUGGAUCGUGCAUGUCAUGUGAAUAUUCUCUUGGCCUCGAAGACACCGCCCGUCACACCAUGGGAACAAGGUUUUACCAGAUAUGGUUAGCCCUAACCGUAAGGAGGCGAUUACCAUUGCAGGAUUCAUGACUGGGGUGAAGUCGCAUUAAGGUA